UCAAAGCGUUAAUUGUGUAGCGGAAGUUCGUAUAUGUCGUUGGUUUUGUAUCUUCUAACAACGAAACACUACUCCGGCUUUAAAGAUCUAAUUGCGGUUCUAGUUCUUAUACUCAAUCAUACACAUGACAUCAAGUCAUAUUUGACUCCAAAACACUAACCAAGCUUCUUCUUACUUCUCAAAGCUUUGAUGGUGUAGCUGAAGUCCGUAUGAGUCUUUGGCUUUGUAUCUUCUAACAAGGAAACAGUACUUAAGCUUUUGAGAUCCGGUUGCGGUUAAGUUCUUAUACUCAAUCAUACACAUGACAUCAAGUCAUAUUCGACUCCAAAACACUAACUAACUUCUUUUUGCUUCUCAAAGCUUUGAUGUGUAGCCGAAGUCAGUAUGAGUAUUUGUCUUUGUAUCUUCUAACAAGGAUACAAUACUUAGGCUUUUAAGAUUCGGUUCCGGUUCUAGGUCUUAUACUCAGUCAUAGA
rnacentral:sRNA from 1 species